GUGUUCACUUCAGCAGUACAUAUAUAAAAUUGGAACGAUACAGAGAAGAUUAGCAUGGCCUCUGUGUAAGGAUGACACGCAAAUUCGUGAAGCGUUCCGUAAUUUU
ensembl:snRNA U6 U6 spliceosomal RNA